CUUCACGGACCCGAGCCACAGCGGGUCGCCGUCGCGGUCCCGGCCGUAGGUGGCGAGGAGCGCGCCGGCCUC
rnacentral:antisense_RNA from 1 species